GCCCUCUGGUGGCCAUCUUGAGAGCCUGGGGCGCACAGUCCCCAGACCAGAGCGGGAGGGGUGACCCAGAUCCACAGACCCUAUGCGCGUGUCUUCUUGAUUGCACAAAGGAAGCAUACUUUCGUUGACACUUAAUUCCUGGGAAGCCAGUGGGGAACUCUUGGACCACUAAAUGGGUUCAGAAAGUGCUCCCACGGAGGAAGGGUAGGAAGCUGCAAAUCUGGAGGGGCGAGGAGGCGGUGAGGAAUGUGCAGCCGACCCCUGCAGAGGAGCCAGCUGCUGCCGGAAAAAGUUGGACCAUCUGGAAGACCCUCCGUGUGGGCAUAAAGGCUCAAGAAUGACGACAGCACAGACCCCCUCGCUGAAAUAGAAUGUGCUGUCUGGAAAACUGAAAAGACAGGGGACAGGGUACCGGUACGGGUACUGGACGCGAAGUGGGGUUGAAAUUCUUAAAGUCCCCACCCACACAAGGGUCUUUGUCCUCAUGUAUCUAGGAAAGUUCCCUCUGGUCACUACUGCAAAGCCAGCCCUGCUGUUCAGCCCCCACCCCCUGCGGGGCCCGCAUCUGCCCCUCUCUCUGGAACAUCAAAAGGUUUCUCAGGCUCCAAGUACCACAGACCUGAUUUCUGAGCCGCGCCUGUCCGGUCGGUUUGCAGAGCACCCACCAGCUGCGGUCUCGGUACAUCAGGCACGGCGUGUGCUCCCAUCACUCAAAGGACUAAGAAGGAGGGAAAGAGGACAACAGUGGAUGCUGACCACACAGAAACAAAUGACAGAGUGUAUCUCCCAAAGACAGCAGCACCCGCUCUUGAACCUCAUCCACUUCUUACAACAUGGGGUGGACAGUCCUCUUCAGACCCUGGAGUCUGUUUCCUUCCCUUGGAUCUGGGAGCUCUUGUGUUCCCAGUGUUUUGUGUUCCUGGUGGCGGGGACCCACGCCUGAAGUCCAUCUACCUGGGAACUCCUACUCGGCUACGCGGCUAGCCUGGGAGACCCAAGGUCUGGGCUGGGUGAGGGGCCUUAGAUCAGACAGCAGAACAUGGGACCAAGCCAACACAGUGACUCCUCGGUAGCUUUAAGCCAUCGGAGCAAACAAAGAACAGAGGGGAGAUGGCUCAGGCCACACCGCCGACUCACACAAGCAAACUGUGUUAAGCCACUACUUCUUUAUUUCCCCGGCGGCAGCUGUUUCACAACUUGUACUAGUUAGGUUUUGUUAAUGUGACAAACUAGAGUCAUCUAGAAAGAGGGAACCUCAACGGAGGAGUGGCUUCUGACAGACUGACCUGUGGGCAUGUCUGAGGGACAUUUUUCUUGAUUAAUGAUUGGUGCGGAAGGACUUAGCCCACAGAGGGUGUGUCACCCCUGGGCAGGUGGUCCUGAGUUGUAUAAGAAAGCAGGCUGAGCAAGCCAUGGAGAGCAAGUCGGUAGGCCCCGGCGCCUCUGCUGUUCCUGCUUCCGGUUCCUGCCUCGCUUCCCUUGAGCGUGGACUAUGAGGUGGACGUGCAAGCCAAAUAAACCCUUUUCUAAGUA